UCUUACACAUGCAGUCGAACGAUGAACCAGGAGCUUGCUCUUGGGGAUUAGUGGCGAACGGGUGAGUAACACGUGAGUAACCUGCCCUUGACUCUGGGAUAACCUCCGGAAACGGAAGCUAAUACCGGAUAUGACGCACGGAGGCAUCUCCUGUGCGUGGAAAGAAUUUCGGUCAAGGAUGGACUCGCGGCCUAUCAGGUAGUUGGUGAGGUAACGGCCCACCAAGCCUACGACGGGUAGCCGGCCUGAGAGGGUGACCGGCCACACUGGGACUGAGACACGGCCCAGACUCCUACGGGAGGCAGCAGUGGGGAAUAUUGCACAAUGGGCGCAAGCCUGAUGCAGCAACGCCGCGUGAGGGACGACGGCCUUCGGGUUGUAAACCUCUUUUAGUAGGGAAGAAGCGAAAGUGACGGUACCUGCAGAAAAAGCACCGGCUAACUACGUGCCAGCAGCCGCGGUAAUACGUAGGGUGCAAGCGUUGUCCGGAAUUAUUGGGCGUAAAGAGCUCGUAGGCGGUUUGUCGCGUCUGCUGUGAAAUCCCGAGGCUCAACCUCGGGCCUGCAGUGGGUACGGGCAGACUAGAGUGCGGUAGGGGAGAUUGGAAUUCCUGGUGUAGCGGUGGAAUGCGCAGAUAUCAGGAGGAACACCGAUGGCGAAGGCAGAUCUCUGGGCCGUAACUGACGCUGAGGAGCGAAAGCGUGGGGAGCGAACAGGAUUAGA
rnacentral:rRNA from 1 species